UGCAUAUCCAAAAAGCGGAGGAAAAGAAACCAACAGGGAUUGCCUCAGUAACGGCGAGUGAAGCGGCAACAGCUCAAAUUUGAAAUCUGGCCUCUUCGGGGUCCGAGUUGUAAUUUGUAGAGGAUGUUUCGGGUACCGCCUCGGUCUAAAUUUCUUGGAACAGAAUGUCAGAGAGGGUGAGAAUCCCGUCUUGGACCGGCGGUAGGGCCCAUGUGAAACUCCUUCGACGAGUCGAGUUGUUUGGGAAUGCAGCUCAAAAUGGGUGGUAAAUUUCAUCUAAAGCUAAAUAUUGGCCAGAGACCGAUAGCGCACAAGUAGAGUGAUCGAAAGAUGAAAAGAACUUUGAAAAGAGAGUUAAACAGUAUGUGAAAUUGUUGAAAGGGAAGCGCUUGCAACCAGACUUGAGCGCGGCGGUUCCCCCUUCCUUCUGGUUGGGUUACUCCGCCGUGUCCAGGCCAACAUCGGUUCUGGGGGUCGGUUAAAGGCUUGGGGAAUGUAUCUACUCCUUCGGGGGUAGACUUAUAGCCCCAGGUGUCAUGCGACCUCCCGGGACCGAGGAACGCGCUUCGGCUCGGAUGUUGGCGUAAUGGUUGUCAGCGACCCGUCUUGAAACACGGACCAAAA
rnacentral:rRNA from 1 species